UUUGUCAGGAGACCGGCCAACACAAAGAUCACUAUCACUGUGUCCCUGGCCUGUACUUGCUACACGUAUCUCCCAUCACCAUCAUUUACAGAGAGAGGCUCUCCUCUGCUCCUACUGCCACUGCCCUUCUCCAUGGGCAGAAAGAGAACAUCAGGACACGCCAAACAGCCUUUAGGAUACACUACGUGAUGUCUUCUGGAACUGCAUAGCCUUGGUGUUACGCUGAAUAUUUAUAUAAACAGGCACGCAUCAGGAUUUGGGGGCAGCAUGCAGAGCUUCGUUUCACACAGCAUUGCACAGGCUGCAGACAGCGUGCCAAACCAUCUGCGUGGACUUCUCAAACUACCAGUGGCUUCUUAGGAAGACAGCAAGAAGAGGCAUCGACCGCCUGCAGCAAGAGAAAAGAACUAUCACUGACCCACACAGUCAAGGAACAGGGCAAACCACCACCUAUUCCGUGUAACACCACCACAGACUGCCUGAUGCAGGUGAAUUACAUUGAGAAAUCAUUUGACAGACAGUUGUGCAAGUUUAAAUUUUCCAAAGCAGAAGUGAUAUUCUUUCUCAUGAUUGAUCCACCCCUUGAAGUGUGGGGAGGAGGUAGGGGGAAGAAAGGAAAAAUAAGUCUUCCAGGUUGUGUGCUAUAAUGGCGAAUGAAUAAAAGGUAAAGUCUGCUGU